GGCGCCGUCCAAGGUCGCCUCUUCCUCGCCCUGAACCUGGUCCUCGUGGCAGCCACGCAUGGCUGCGGGUCGUACUGCGGCAACACACCGGCCGUCCCAAUGCCAGCCCCGCCGAUCGCCGUGCCCCCGCCGGUCGUCCCGGUCCCGACCCCUCCGACGACCGGAAGCAGCAGCGGCACCUGCUCGAUCAAUACACUGAAGCUGAAGGCGUGCGGCAACGUACUCAACCUGCUAAAGCUCAACCUCGGCGUGCCGACGAGCGAGGACUGCUGCCCACUGCUCGGCGGGCUCGCCGACCUCGACGCCGCAGUGUGCCUCUACACCGCCAUCAAGGCCAACGUUCUCGGCAUCAAGCUCAACGUCCCCGUCGACCUGGUGCUCCUCCUCAACCAGUGCGGCAAGACCUGCCCCGCUGACUUCACCUGCCCCAGCUGA
rnacentral:rRNA from 1 species